CCGGUUAACCACACGCGCUCCACUAACGACUUUUGAAAAUGCAAAUAACACAAUUGAUAUCUACGUAAAAUCUACUUAGUGAAAGCGUUUCCUCACCAUCAUUUUCAUGAAUCGGAGAGAAACCUUAUGACACUUAGAUUUUAUAGUGUAUGAGUUCCUAUCCAUGUGAAUUUGUCAAAACCAUAAUCACAAGAUAAGGUUAGUGACAAAUUCAGCCUUACAUGGAUUAAACUUGUUCAAUCUUAGUUUCUUGUCACCUUGGUAGCACAAGGCCCACCAAUGCUUCCAAGUUGAACUCUGAUAACUCACAUGCAAAUUCAACUUAUUUGAAGUAGGUACAGAAAUAAGAAUUAUGUCAACACGAUAGGUUGCAAACCUUAAGUCGUGUGCUAGUGAUAAAUUACAGGUUUUACUCUUGAUUAAAUCUUGAAACUCUUUCAGGAUCUUUAAGGCUCCCACUGUCCCCUUGACAUAUAAGUUUCCCCAGUCAAGAACCAUUCCUUGACAAAACAAAUAUUCAAGGGAUAGUGCGGAUUCUUAUCAAGACUAACACUUCACACAAUUGGUCUUAGUUGGUCUUUGUCUCAUCCAAGACAUCACAACUUACCAAUCUCAAAUGUACAAGAGUAGAAAACAUUUUACUCUUACAUUUGACUAGUGUUAAUAAAUCUUCCUUUAUGUCACUCAAAGUUACAAUCUUGGAGUAUGACUCUAAGAAUUGUUUUGGAACGAAGUAUGACUCAUCUUCUUGAUUUUAACCAAUCCAACAAUUCAUGACCUCUCUUCUUAGCCAUAACAAUGCACUAAGACGUCCUUAGAGUAUGAAUUUGUGAUAUGGUUUCAUAAUCAUUAAGAUGAUCAUGAAAUACGAUACUAAAGUACUCUCCCAUCCUUUCAGAUUUGAGAAACUUUUAUCUUUCUGCCUAAUUUGAUUCUUCUCAUUUGUUUUGUCAUACAUUGUAACCUUUCCAAUGUUACAGAAUUAUACUUAACCUCAUAAGUAUAAUCAUAUUUACUAAUCUUUAGUAAAUCAUGACAAAUCAAUCUUUGUGGUGGACCUUGACCAGCGCACACCCAGUGUACCUAAUUCCUUAGUCCUUCAAUUGACUCACAUAUACAUGUGAUCAAAGAAUUAGUCUUAAUUUUCAAAGAUGAAAAUUCUCAUUCAUCAUACAAUACAACUUGUAUGAUUCCAAGUUUCUGUCCAAUUGAAACUUGGGUGAUGAAAAACUUUCUUCAUUUGGUAAAUUCAGACACUACCACAAAUGAAAGAAUCAAAUCCACUUUCCAAUAUUGCUAUUACUGGAAACAUAUAAGCAACAAUUUUCCACAGAUGCCAUUGUAAGGAUAUUUUUAAAAUAAAUAAAAUUAAAACCCUUUUUUUUUUUUUUUUUAAAACUUUGCGGAAAAACUUAUCCUUACAAUCCACAUGAAAACCUUGUUGUUAUCUAUUCAUAAGCAAUAUAUUAUAACUCUUAAGCAACAGCUCAAAAUUCUGAUUACCGAACCAUGCGAUCGAAACCCACCUUCGCAAUCAGAAUCAACAUAUACUUACUUUAAGCUUCCUAUCUUUUCUUUGAUUCUUAAAAACAUCAGCAUGUGACCCAUUCACAUUAUGUAAUAAGAAUCUCCAAAUAGGAACUUAAUAGAGUUAGACAGUGGACUUUACCCGAAGUAGAGUCAAACCUCUUGACUUGAUCAACCUUAUGACCUUUCAGGUGAAUAGGGCAGCUUCGCAACCAAUGCCCCUUCCUUUGGCAACAAAACACAUGGACCCUUUGGUAAUGGCACAUGAGACUAUCUCAGACUUAGCCUUUCUCUUUACCAUUUGGUCAACCGAGUUGACUAUGGCCGAUCCCUUUCCAUUGGGAAGAGAAAUCCUUUUCUAGAUAUCCAAUGCUACCAUUGUCAAUGUCCAUUUAAGACUUGGGAAGUUGUUCUUUUAAUCAAAUUUGCUUUACUGGUGUUCCAAAUCAUUGCUGAUUCCACAACACCAAGCAAAUAGAUAACAUCAUUAAGGGUCAUGUCAUAGUCUGUCUCAUAGUAGUCCCAAAGAGACUCACUAUGUUACUAAGAAAGUGAUUGAACAUCCAACUUUCACGAGACUUUGACACCCAACUCUCCCGGCUUGUCAAUAUGUGACUUUAUCUCCAAGAUGUGAGCACACAUAGACUAUGCUUGCCAAUAGGGAUUGAGUGACUUUAAACUUUUCAAGAACUUGUGGGUGAGGGAGAAUAAUUGGAGGAGGUGGAGGAAGUGAAGCAUGAUGUUGAGGGACACCAUCUUCAAGAGAUUUGGGAAGAUCAUAGUUGUCUGAACCAGACAUCUAUAAUGGGAGAAAAUCAAGUUAGUUGAUUCAAAGUCCUUAAUAUAACACCCAAUAUGAAAUAUUAAGGCUAGGACCCAACACAAUAUUUUAUAAUUUGGAAGAGGGAUGCCGUAAUCCAAGCUAUAAAAUAUUUGAAGGUAGGCGAAUGACGAUUCACCAAUUUCCACCAUGAAAAACGAAAUAAUUUAUUAGGUUUUAAUUGGAUUUGAAAUUCCUAGAUCUUUUGAGAUUCAUUGAACUUUUCAAUGGCAUGUUUCAAUCUCGAGUGUGCCCUCUCAAAUUUUGUGACUGGGAUGCCGAGGAUCACAAAACAAGGUGUGAAUAACCAUACCAAUUCACUUGGUACCCUUAAUAUUAUCACCUAAUCAAUGUGCCGGUUAACCACACACGCUCCAUUGAUCUAUGACAAACAUUAAGUCACCCUUCGUGAUCCUUACUAGUCCAAGUUAGUGUGCCGGUUAACCACACACGCUCCACCAACGACUUGGUAAGGUACAAAGUGUGAAUUCCAUGGGCUAGCACCAAAUUCACAUUUUUCCUAAAGUAACUAAGAUUGGGAAUUAAAUAAAAAAUUUUUAGUUACUUUAUAAUAAUCAUUAUACUUUUAAUGAGAAUUUAAAGUCAUUGUCCUACCCGUUCGGCUAACGACCCUCCACCGAUCAAGCAAGCGGUGGGUGAGAGUGGACACCCAUUAAGUCGCCAUUUUAUAGGCAACAACCUUAUACCCACCUUAUAGACCGGCUUCGUGAAUGAGGCCUACUAACGGUAAAACGACUUGUUCUUAUACAUAUAUAUAAUAAUUAACCAUUAAUGUUAUAAAUAGUAUAAGUGUUGAAUUUUAACUUUUAAAACUCUAAGUGUUGGAAUUAAAGUUUAUUAAAGUGUGUGAAACUUUUCAAAUUCCAAAACUUGAGGGCAAGUUUUGUAACUAUCCAAAACUUUUCAUUUCAUAACUUAUGAAUUAAAGGUUCAUAAAAAUGAAGACUCUUCAUUUUCAUGUAACUUAUGUGUUUAAAUGUGUGUGUUAAAGAAAAGUGACCUUUGGAUAUCCAUAACUUGAGGACAAAUUAUGGACUCCAUUAAAACACAUAAAUGAUCAAGAAUUAAUUCUAAACAAUUCAGCAAAUAAUUCCUAUCAUCUUCUAAAUUCAUAAGAACAUGAACAUGAUCAUCAAAAUUUCAAGAAUUAUAUGAACACAUAAAAAUCAUGGAAUUUUGAUAUAUGCUAUUGUAAAUGGAUUAGAACAACCAUUACACCAACUAAAACAAGUUUUAAAACACCAAAACAGUUUAGGGUAAUGUUUCUAGUCCAUUUCCAGCAGCAAAAGUCGAAAUUCUGCAUUCUGAUCAUUCUACUCGCCGAGUGCACGAACCUACUCGCCGAGUAGGAUGAAUUUUGCCUUGAACUCGGCGAGUCCCCCCAUGGACUCGGCGAGUCCAUCAGCCAGACAGCAACAAUUUCAACUUUUUUCACUAUUUUGCAUCAAGUAUCAAACAAGCAAGCCUAGGCUCUGAUACCACUGUUGGGUUUUGAGCAAUCUAACACUUCCUAAGUGUGCAUGCAACCCUAAUAAACCUUGGAUCUAUGUUUGUCUAAAUACAUGCAAAAUAAUAAUUUUCCAAGGUUCAUAACCUAUCUAACAUGGCAUGGGGAACAUUUCAACAUAAAAGAGUUAGAAGAGAUUACAUACCUUUUUGAUGAGUUUGGUUCUUAAGGAGUUUGAGGGCCAAGCACCAAUAGUGUGAAUGCCUCAAAUGGAAUCACAAAACACCACAAACUCUUGGAAAACUUUGAGAGAGUAUACACACUUGUAUUUUUGGCCACACACAAGCACACACACACUAGUUCACUAGUUGCCAUUUCAUGCUCCAUAAGCAUGCUUAUAUAGUGUGCAUGGUUAGGGUGAAACCCUAAUAACCCAUGACCUUUCCUUUUCCAAGGAUCCAUGGGUUAAAAGCUCCAUGGAUCAUCCAUGGACUUCCAUAUAAGCCUAGCCCAUUAACAAAUGAGUGUUAGCCCACACCAUAUAAAACCAAUAGCCCAUAAUCUAAUUAGUCUUCCUUUUAAUCUCUAAAUUAAUUCAUAAUUAAUUUAAGACUAAGACUAAUUAAAUAACAUAACUUCAUAUUAAUAUAUUAUAACUUAUAAUAUAUUAAUAAACAUAUGUGUAUAACUCUCAUAAAAUUAUCCAUAAAUCGUUCGGAUGAAAUGCAACCCAAAUGGACCAUGCCGGGUCGGGUCAAGUAUAUACCAAAUAAGUUAUGGACUUAGACACCUUAUCCGACAGACUCCCACUUGGAUAAAUCUAAUAACUAUAUUUGCCAAUAUUACUUCAGGAACCAACCGGCAAUCGUAGCUCUCGAAAACUCUGUUGAACUAUGAAGCGCCAUUUUAGAUAAUUGAUUAUAUAGUCCUCUAUUCUCAUAAUAUCAGCCGGAGAAAUACAUGGAACAAUGUCUUACUUAUUGUCUGGCAGUUGUUUCUCGAUUUCCGACUUGUUUGACAAAGAACUUAACUGAACACAUCAAUUUAGUUCUGACCGGGACCGGUACAUGGGUCAACACAAAAUCAUCAAGGGGCCCAUAUAUUGCUUCUAUUUCUAGAAGGAACAGAUAAACUUCGACUCAUAUGCUUAUUCUACUACUUGUUGAAUUGUACACAAAGGCACGUUUUAUAACAUCAAGUUACUGAUGCGUUUACGUGCAAUCAAUGUACAACCAACUCAUAGGUAACAACUCAUAUCUCUAGGUUUGAAGACUUAUAUGAUAUUAUCGUCUCACGAUCACUCGAGAUAAAUUCCGUGAAGUGAUACAAGUGAGGGUGGGUUAAUUCCAAUACUCAUAACUUAUGAGCACUCAUGAAUGUUGUAGCAACCAUUGCUAUGUCUAAAAACAUUUAGCCAUCUACAACCUCGAUUCAUGACAGUCUUAAUGCAUACAUACUUCCAACAUACGAACGACUGUGGAGUGUUUAAAUAACUUAGUCAUUCGGAAAGAAUAACUUAGCUAUUCUGGAAGUCAAAACAUGCAAAGUGAAACACAAUAAUAAUCGAAUAUAAUAUGGUCUCAGAACCCUUUUGAAUAUAAAUAAAACCACCUUUCAUUUAUCACCAUAUUGAUUACACAUUAUUCAUUGUAUAAUGUUUCAAAUAAUCAACUAAAUACUUGAAUAAAAACAACAGUUAUCCCAUGCUCCUAGCAUGUACACUUUGUUUUUUUAAACAAUAGUUAUGCCAUACUCCAAGUAUGCACACUAUGUUUGUCUAUGAUCUUUACUUUGUGAAAUAGAUCAAUUGAACAUGAUUCUAGUGAUGCUCAUUUCACAAUCCCAAAUCCUUAUUGUAAAUGUAAGAAUUCCUAAUUCCUACCAUUUACCAAAAAUCUGUUAGAUUUUAAACUUAUAUGCACUGAUCCUCUCGUAAUGAUUAUGCACAAGGUCACCAAAACCUUGUCAUCAGUGAUUACAGAGAAUUCCAAAGGAGAUCAAAUCUAUGGAAACGAAGUCUCAUAUUCAAAGUACAUUGCUUUGAACAUCAUUCUUGCAUUAAGGUUUUCCUAAUCUUACACAGAUUGAAUAACUUCCACCUAUGGAGACAUUUCCAUACUCCCAUUUUGACUAUCAUUUCUGAAAAAGAGUUACCUCCUUUCAGAAUAUGUCAAUAUGGUCCUUUCCAACAAUUUAUAUCCUACUUCCAACUGUCCCCGAGCAACCAAUCUUUGGUGAACCUCACAUUGUCCUCGACAAUUGCUUAAUCACUUUAGUCAUAUCUAAUUCUAGAAUUUUCCCUUUUCAAUGCCCUAAGCAUUUGGAAAAUUUAGAGAGGAUGAAUAUUAUAGCACAUGCAAUCAAUCCUAUAUCCGAAGCAUAUGGGACACGAUUCAUGAUGUCUCACAUAAAGACAUGAUACUAGACCAGUCUUUUGCUACAAUAUUUUUUAUUUGCCAUGUUUUCAAAAUUUAACUAUAAAGAGGGAUGCUGUAAUCAUAAUUGAUUUUUUUUUUGAAAACGCAAUAUAUAUAGAAUUUCUUUAAGUUGAACCAUUCCAACAUAAAAUACAUAUAUAUAUUCGUGACUAAAGAUGAUUAAAAUCUCAAUCUAANAUAUAUAUAUAUAUAUAUAUAUAUAUAUAUAUCCUUGACUAAAGAUGAUUAAAAACUCAAUCUAAGCUUGCUUUUAGAAUUGAAAUGAAGUGUAAUUUCCUCUCCCUUAAUUAUAGCAAAACAAUUUUUCAAACCCUGCAACUUCACGAAUUGAAACUUUUGUUAUUCUAUAAUUAACAUUGAUAGCUUGCAAUAAAAAUAAUCAUAAUUAUCAUGCUUCCACUAACAUGAUGAUUAUUAGCACAACACUUAUGCUCCCACUAGCUUUGACAUGUAUUCUGAAAUCGGUUGGACUUCUAAAAUUUAGACUCAUACACCUUUCCGUAGAUAGCUCACAUGUGUGUCUAAAGAAUUUCCAGAACUAUGAAAAGGGAUGUCGUAAUCAUAGUCUUAAUUGUUUAGACCUUUUCCAUUUCUCACAAGUCCAUGUUAGUGUGCCGGUUAACCACACACGCUCCAUUAACGACUUUGAGAAUGCAAACAUCACAAUUGCUAUCUACUUAAAAUCUUUUUAGUGAAAGCAUUUCCUCACCAUCAUUUUCAUGAAUCGGAGAGAAACCUUAUGAAACUUAGAUUUUAUAGUGUAUGAGUUUCUAUCCAUGUGAAUUUGUCAAAACCAUAAUCAUAAGACAAGGUUAGUGACAAAUUCAGCCUUACAUGGAUUGAAAUUGUUCAAUCUUAAUUUCUUGUCACCUGGUAGCACAAGGCCCACCAAUGCUUCCAAGCUGUUAUGCACAUAGUUUAGAACUAACAGAACUCACAUGCAUAGUCAACUUAAUAGGAAGAGACACAGAAACAAGAAUUAUGUCAACUUAAUAGGUUGCAAACCUUAAGUUGUGUGCUAGUGA
rnacentral:lncRNA from 1 species